AUAUAAGAAUGCGAAAAGAACGAUGUUUGCUGCAUCAAAUUAACCACACUACAGAGACCCAUGGAGUAAAAUUGGUGAGAUGCUAGGAAUAGAUGCUGACCAGGCAAAAACAUCAACUCAAUCAAGGGAAACUUUCAACAAUCUUCUAGAAACAGUUUUUCUUGGACGCUAGAAGAUUUACUCCAAGACAUGCAUGAUGACUGUCAGAUGUAGGAACACCUAAAAAUCGUUAGCCGAUCAUUGCCUGAUGAAUCCGUCUCGUCUGUGCAACGCUAGUCCGUUAACAGUGGAUCACUCGUCGCAGACUCAUGGACACGUGUCGGCAGCAGUGCAAAAGCUGGCUUUACAGUUUCUUGAUACGAGAGCUAAUUCGAUCUAACUGAACCGAGGCCACUACAUUUUCAAGUUUCAAAAUGAUCUCGAAUUGGAGGGAGAACUGUAUACCUAUAUUAAAAAUAAUAAUUAUAAGCUUUGUUGCGGCGUUUUUUAAAGCGGCAAGUAUUCGUCAGAAGUGCCUAAUGGAUCAACAGUAUUGCAAUAAUUGCGCAUAAGGCAUACGUGUACAAGGCAAACUGUGACUCCAAGACCUCGAUGGAGAUACCACGGCAUGGCUUCGAGUGACCAUAUUACCAAGUUGAGUUUCACAGUCAUACGAAAGUAGAAUUAUGUGUAUUAAUUGUUUCAUGUGCCAGCGGCAUAUUCUAUGAUCCACUAAGCUACUGUAACUAACAGCUUAACAAGGAACGGGCGUCUCUGUUUCUAAACAAGAGCGAGAUUCUUUCAUAUUUCACACGUUGUUUUGUAUAUAUGGCUUAGGGCCUACGUCUAGCAAGACUUGCAUGGCGCUUCUCAAUACAACAUACGUGACGUGUACGUGACAUGUACGUAGGCCUAUACAGUGGCGGAAAACAAUUUCGGCAAACCUUCUCUAAUGUUUUGGCAUGACAACUACAUAUACAUAGGCACGAUAUCGUUUGCUGGCUCCCGCAUUAUGCGCUCGUUUCAUCUAAACCUAUAAGAACCGAUACUUAUAUCUAAAUGGUCUUAGUUAAGUUGUGUGGGUGGGUAAAUGACUUAUUUCUGUUCAAUGGACGGAUGGGUGGGUUGUGGGAGGGUAUGUUUUGCUAUUUUUUGUGAAUGUUAAUUGUAGACUUUCUGUAGGUUAAAAAAUAUGAAUGUUUUAGUUAAA